GUGCUCGCCGAUGGGUGAACCGUCUCCUGUUGAGGAGGUGGCGUGAGGCAGAACUCUUCCUUCUCCUGCUGCAGCAGGUGUCUGAGGAUGACCUUGGACAGGAAGUGAGGGUCGUCCUCACGCUCGUCUAGAGGAGGAAAAGGAAAAAGAUUUACUACUAAAGCUGUCCGUGGAAACACAAAUCCUGAUAGUCGGUCUGUCCCAUACCACAAGCGGAAAGGAAAGAACGAGACCUGAGAAAAAACAAGACGGCGGUAUUGGAGUGUCAGGUCUUGAUCUCACCAGGACCCCCAGGCUUUUAAACAGCGCAUACAGAGCCGACACCAGGAAGACGAGUUUCCAG